GCCUGAGUGGCUUAAUGGUAAAGCACCAUCUUGGUAAGGUGGAGAUUGCGGGUUCAAAUCCCGCCUCAGGCU
rnacentral:tRNA from 1 species